rnacentral:rRNA from 1 species
AUUGAACGCUGGCGGCAGGCCUAACACAUGCAAGUCGAGCGAGCGGCGGACGGGGGAGUAAUGUCUGGGAAACUGCCUGAGGGGGGGGGAUAACUACUGGAAACGGGAGAUAAUACCGCAUACCAUCAGAUGUGCCCCGAUGGGAUUAGCUAGUAGGUGGGGUAACGGCUCCCCUAGGCGACGAUCCCUAGCUGGUCUGAGAGGAUGACCAGCAACACUGGAACUGAGACACGGUCCAGACUCCUACGGGAGGCAGCAGUGGGGAAUAUUGCACAAUGGGCGCAAGCCUGAUGCAGCCAUGCCGCGUGUGUGAAGAAGGCCUUCGGGUUGUAAAGCACUUUCAGCGGGGAGGCGUUACUCGCAGAAGAAGCACCGGCUAACUCCGUGCCAGCAGCCGCGGUAAUAC